rnacentral:rRNA from 1 species
UACGUAGGGGGCAAGCGUUGUCCGGAAUCAUUGGGCGUAAAGCGCGUGUAGGCGGCUUGGUAAGUCCGCUCUGAAAGCCCGGGGCUCAACCCCCGGGAGGCGGGUGGAUACUGUCAAGCUCGAGUCCGGAAGAGGCGAGUGGAAUUCCUGGUGUAGCGGUGAAAUGCGCAGAUAUCAGGAGGAACACCAAUGGCGAAGGCAGCUCGCUGGGACGUGACUGACGCUGAGACGCGAAAAGCGUGGGGGAGCAAACAGG